GAUGAACGCUAGCUACAGGCUUAACACAUGCAAGUCGAGGGGAAACGGCAUUGAGUGCUUGCACUCUUUGGACGUCGACCGGCGCACGGGUGAGUAACGCGUAUCCAACCUUCCCAUUACUGUGGGAUAACCUGCCGAAAGGCAGACUAAUACCGCAUAGUCUUCGAUGACGGCAUCAGAUUUGAAGUAAAGAUUUAUCGGUAAUGGAUGGGGAUGCGUCUGAUUAGCUUGUUGGCGGGGUAACGGCCCACCAAGGCGACGAUCAGUAGGGGAUCUGAGGGUCAGGCACACCACAUUUGAACCACGGUCCGGACCCCUAUGCUACGGAAGACAGCAGUAUGUAAUACUGGUCAAUGGACCGUGGUCUGAACAAGCCAAGUAGCGUGCAGAAUGACUGCGCUAUGAGUUGUAAUCUGCUUUUGAAUGAGGAUAAAGUUAGGGACGUGUCCCUAUUUGACGGUACCAUACGAAUAAGCACCGGCUAACUCCGUG
rnacentral:rRNA from 1 species